rnacentral:antisense_RNA from 16 species
CGUUAUGGCGGGUUGCGUGGGAGAACCUUCGGGUUCGCCGGUUCCUUGAUUCCCGGUCCGCCAAUCCUGCGCAAUCCGCCACCCUG